CAAUCAUUUACAACGCCAUUCUCGUUGCGCUGUUUGACCCUUGUGAUGCGCCAUAGUGUAACUAGGAAGAGAAUUUGUUACUAAGUGAAACGGGAAGAGAAAGAAAUGCAAGGAUGUUCUCCAGUUGCAAUCCAACAUAGCUAGCUAAUUUAAAUGAAAUUAUAUUUUGGAGAAGGAACGUAGACCGCUAACUGAAUAGGUGAGUUUUUCAAUCUGGAUCAAUGGCUCUACCAACCCUCUCUGCCCACAUUGGCCGAGUCGAGUUCGUUCCUUGGAAAGCCAGAUGGUGCGGCAGGGGGAACAGGAGGCACGUUGGCGGCAACACUGGGAGCUGCACUCAAUGCACUAAAGGCAACAACAGAACAUUGUAAGCAGGCACACUGGAGUUCUCGUCAAUCAUACCAGCCGAGGAGGCGGACUGCAGACUCCUGCCAGACCUGUUGUAGUAGGAGCAAGGGGGAGGGCGGUGGGGGGUGGCGGACGUCGCCUGGAAGAAGAUGUCAUCGAGGAAUAGCUGCAGUUGGAGAGGCGGUGGGAGGCUGUUUGCUGUCCUGUACAGGGAGAAGUCCCAGCGUGUUUGGGAGAAGUGGGAGGCAGAGAAGGAGAGGAGAGCCAGGGAGAGGCUCAUUCAGGAGGCUCUUGCAGAUGGAGCUCAAGAUGCAGGAGAACCGUCAGGCUCAGGAUGAGUCUCUGAGGAGGCGGGGGGAGGGCUGAUCCAGGAGCUGGAGAGGCAGACCAGACGCCGAGAGGGUGGAGGAAGAGGGUCAAAGGACGGCGAACAGGAACAGCCUGUGUUGACUGGGGUGUCGCAGGUGAAGGAGAGGGAUGCCCUAAGGCUGCAGGAGGAUGAACAGAGGCUGGAGACUCAUAGGAUGGCCCAGCAGAGCUACCAGGACAAGUACUGAUCCAGGGUCCAGUUCAUUAGGGCAAGCAAAGCCAACGUUUUUACCUGGUAGCUAAACAGAUGACAAUCAAUUUGGCAAAUAUACACACCCCUCUGUAUGUAUUUGGAGAUAAAAAUGGCUAAUUUCUAAAUAGUAAAUCAGAUAUGCAUGAAAAUACCUUAAGACAACAGUACAGAAUGUCACCUUUUAUUUUGACACAUUUGAUCUUAAAUCCAAAAUGCUGGAGUAUAGAGCCACAUCUAGCAUCACU